GGGUCUCUGGGAUUUGGGGGAUUCCUGGGAUUUGGAGUCCCUGGGAUUUGAAGUCCCGGGGAUUCGGAGUCCCUGGGAUUUG